CAAAUGGAAACUAGGCACCACCGCACAGAGUUGUCAAUGUUAUGAAACAAGAACAUAUGUUUGGCAUGAGUUAAAUAGUGCAGUGAGUAAUAAUGCAGUCAUUUACAUAUCCCAUAAGUGUCUUCCUAUUUUAUCUAUCAUUGAAGGAGGACACUUCUUCAAGCGAAACAGGUUUUAGUUGGAAGAACACUUUUUCAAAAGCUCCCAGACAUAGCAUAUACAGCCUUAUUUGACUCGGUAAUAGGACAAUGAACAACAUUUGGCACAAUAAGUAACUUACUCAAGGAUUCAUGUCAACAAGACUUUAAGUUUGGAGAAGAGAACCACCCCAAGACCCAGAGUGAGGAACAGCAUGAGAAGAAUCAAGAUGCCGGCCCCUCUGAGGGUCAGAAUCAUAAUAAUUGCCAUCCUCACCAACCUCUAACGAUGCCACAACAAUGUAAAGAAGACCAAUCUGGCACCAAGACAGAGGUGUAUUAUGAAAAACAUUUUCUUCCUUGGAAAUGGAACAUCACAGCCUUAAUUCAGAACAACCACAUGGAAUCAACUGUGCCUGUAAAUAGCAGUAAGUAAAGCUAGUGGAAUUAAAGUGGCCUACUAGAAAGUAUUCCGUCUACUAGUUUGUCUUAAAGUUUUGAGAUUUCAAAAUCGUACUAAUUGCCACCUGUGAACAUUGUAUGAUAUCAUGUCAUAUAUAUUGUUAUCACUUUACCUUUAAUAUAUUCUAAUCUCCUCACAACAGCGGUGAUCCCAUUUCAGGCUGGGGUGGCGGGUGUGGAUAUACAUCCUCAUCUAGGCUUCAUCUCAAUAGGAUCAUCUCCAGACUGUGUUCAGGCAGCUCUACCUCAUACCGAUGGCUCUUCCUCACAGCAUUCACCUCAACACCAGCUUCUUCAAUGAUGGUAGGGUUUCACAAUAGUGAGGGAACAAAAGCACAACCAUACCUUCAAUCAAGCAAGGUAUCUAGUUAUAUCUCAAACAGAAUGGAGGCACACAGAGCAGCAACAUUAGUAAAUAUAUUUAUAUUACAUAACGUACACAAGAAUCCCCAAGUGUAAAUUCACAGCCACCGAUAAAUGAAAUGAUACCAUGCACAAAAGCACACCAUCAUUUUACGACUGAUCUAUCAUAGAUCUAAAACUGAGAUUAAACUGUGGUGGUGUUUCCCCAAAUGAGUCACUCUCAGUCAGAUACAGUGCCUUGCGAAAGUAUUCGGCCCCCUUGAACUUUGCGACCUUUUGCCACAUUUCAGGCUUCAAACAUAAAGAUAUAAAACUGUAUUUUUUUGUGAAGAAUCAACAACAAG